rnacentral:lncRNA from 1 species
UUAUACUACAAUAACCUUGUGAUUCUUGCAAGUAAAAUAGAAUGUUUUUAUCGCAUUCACAUAAGCAGUAAAAAUCCUAUCAAUCAUGACCCGUUAUUUUAAAUCUUGACUUUGCCACUCCGAUACUUGUUUAAAUUACAGAAAACCUAAUAAAAAAUAAUUUCAAAACUUUAAUUUUAACCAAAAUUAUUCAAACAACUUUAUUUAAUGAUUAAGAUAAAAAAAUUGCCGUAUCUCACACACUACGCGCACUGACACGCGGGCCCUCUUUCACAUGAAAUAACAGUUUUCCUUCUCUUUUCACAUCUUUACCAUCAUUUUUUAAAUUUUCCCCAUAUUCCUUUACCUCUCAUCUUUCACCGGUUCGCCCAACCUUCUUUCUCUUUUUUCACUCAUCUUUCACGUCAUGUUUUUUUGUUUUUUAGGAAGAGACGUCAUGUUUUUGUUUUCCCCAAAUUCCUUCCUUCCUCCCUCCUCUCACUUUCUCUCUCUCUCUCUCUCAUUCCUCUCCCCUCUCUCUCUCUCUCUCUCUCUCUCUCUCUCUCUCUCUCACCCUUGGUCAACUUUGGUAAGAUUUGUGUGGACCAACAUUUUACUUUCUCACAAUCUAUCACUAUAUCCUCUUCAUUAUUGUUUAUUAGAAAUUUAUUAAUUAAGAACAGUUCCUCAUAAAGUUUGAUUAAUCCGUAAUAUCAAAUAUUUUACAAAUGGUGAUUGUUUAUCAAUUAAUAUUUUAAAAUAGUAGUUAUUUCUCAAUUAAUAUUUUAGAAAUAGAGAUUAUUUCUUAAUAAAUACUAACGUUUGUCUACACAUUUUUUAGAAAAUGAGAAGGAGAGAGGGAGAGAACGUGGGAGGUUUUUGUUUUUUUUAUUUUACAUAUUAAAAAUAUUUUAACAUCAUCUGUAUGUGAGGCUUCAAUAAAAAACAGUAAAAGUUAAACCUGUGAAAUUACAUUAUUGCCCAUCUUUUUUUUUUGUGAUAGAAUAUUAAGUUGUCUUUUCACCAUCUUUUGGUUGACAAAGAGGAUUUCAUUAAUUAAUUAGUAGAGAUUCAUAACAUAGUGACUAUUCCUCAAUAAAUAUAAAUAUUUUUAAAAUAGUCAAUAAAUAUUUUAAAUAGUGACUAAUUCUUAAUUAAUAUUUUAAAAAUAGUGAUCGUCUCUCAGUAAGUAAAUAAAAAGUUCAUGGAAUGAUGGUAUAAAAAACAAAUAAUAACACAAAGAAUAAACGGGAGAGUGACGUGAGAGUGG